rnacentral:rRNA from 1 species
AUGGCGCGCGCCCUCCUCCGCCGCCGCGGCGCGCUCUCCUCUCUCCUCUCGCCGGCCGCCCCCACGGCGCCCGGUCUGCUCCCGUCAUUCUCCUCCGCCGCCCUCGCGCAGCUGCGCUCCCCGCUCGACGAACGCCUGCUCCGCCUCCUGCGCUCCGAGAUCUCCUACGUCGCCGACCGCCGCCCUCCCCACCAGCCGCCGACGGGCUUCAAGUCCUUCGCCGUGGAGGACCGCCCGGGGGAGCAGUGGGUGCGCCUCCGCGCCGCUCGCCGCGGCGCCGGGGUCGGGGCCGAGGAGGAGGCCAUCAAGAUCGACGCCACCUUGUUCGACGGCGUCGCGGAGCUGCCCCCCGACGCGUCCCUUUUCAACCGGGUCGAGGCGCUCGAGCAAGGGCCGCGCCUCCACCUCAGCCUCAUCGUCGAGGUCGCCCGAGCCGACCGCGUCCUGGGGUUCAUCUGCUCCGCCUGGCCUGACAACCUUACCGUCCGCCACGUGCUCACCCUCAGGGGCGCCGGCGCCGCCACCGAUGACCGUGGUGCCCGCGACUUCACGAAGCUGGAGCCUGCGGAGAGGGAGGCGGUGAAGAAGUUCCUGCAGGAGAGGGAGGUGGACGCCGAGCUUGCGGAGUUCUUGCACGACUACGUGGCGAACAAGGAGAAGAUGGAGAUGCUCCGGUGGCUGAAGACAGUCGAAUCGUUUGUCGAGAAGUAA